AUUGAACGCUGGCGGCAGGCCUAACACAUGCAAGUCGAACGAGUGGCGGACGGGUGAGUAAUGUCUGGGAAACUGCCUGAUGUAGGGGGUUAACUACUGGAAACGGUAGCUAAUACCGCAUACCAUCAGAUGUGCCCAGAUGGGAUUAGCUUGUUGGUGGGGUAACGGCUCACCAAGGCGCCGAUCCCUAGCUGGUCUGAGAGGAUGACCAGCCACAGUGGACCUGAGAAACGGUCCAGACUCCUGCGUGAGGCAGCAGUGGGGAAUAUUGGACAAUGGGCGAAAGCCUGAUGCAGCCAUGCCGCGUGUAUGGAGAAGGCCUUCGGGUUGUAAAGUACUUACAGCGGGGAGGCGUUACCCGCAGAAGAAGCACCGGCUAACUCCGUGCCAGCAGCCGCGGUAAUUC
rnacentral:rRNA from 1 species